UACGAAGGGGGCUAGCGUUGCUCGGAAUCACUGGGCGUAAAGCGCACGUAGGCGGACUCUUAAGUCGGUGGUGAAAUCCUGGAGCUCAACUCCAGAACUGCCUCCGAUACUGGGAGCCUUCGAGUCCGGGAGAGGUGAGUGGAACUGCGAGUGUAGAGGUGAAAUUCGUAGAUAUUCGCAAGAACACCAGUGGCGAAGGCGGCUCACUGGCCCGGUACUGACGCUGAGGUGCGAAAGCGUGGGAGCAAACAGG
rnacentral:rRNA from 1 species